rnacentral:rRNA from 1 species
GACGAACGCUGGCGGCGUGCUUAACACAUGCAAGUCGAACGGAAAGGCCCUGCUUUUGUGGGGUGCUCGAGUGGCGAACGGGUGAGUAACACGUGAGUAACCUGCCCUUGACUUUGGGAUAACUUCAGGAAACUGGGGCUAAUACCGGAUAGGAGCUCCUGCUGCAUGGUGGGGGUUGGAACGUUUCGGCGGUUGGGGAUGGACUCGCGGCUUAUCAGCUUGUUGGUGGGGGAGUGGCUUACCAAGGCUUUGACGGGUAGCCGGCCUGAGAGGGUGACCGGCCACAUUGGGACUGAGAUACGGCCCAGACUCCUACGGGAGGCAGCAGUGGGGAAUAUUGCACAAUGGGCGGAAGCCUGAUGCAGCAACGCCGCGUGCGGGAUGACGGCCUUCGGGUUGUAAACCGCUUUCGCCUGUGACGAAGCGUGAGUGACGGUAAUGGGUAAAGAAGCACCGGCUAACUACGUG